UUCCCUUCUCCUCUAAAACGCACAGCUUCAUUGAGGACGAAAUCGAGAGAAAAAUGAAAUUUUGUGGCAAAAUUGAAAAAUAAAAACAAAAUAGGACCCAAUCGUAAACAGCCUCAAAAGCGGAAGGACCAAGAGCGCAAAUAACCCCUUUUAUCCAGAAACACGCGGAUCCUUGGCGGUUUGGGUCGAGUCGGUCCGAUCCAUGUUAAAACGACGUCGUUUUGUGGCUUUCUGAACUCCCCAAAACGGCGCCGUUUUAAUAUCCUAUAUAAGUUAAAAAUCUGCAAAAAAAAAUCAUUUUCCCCUUCUUUAAACAAAAAAAAAAUUCAGAAAACCUCUCCUCUCU
rnacentral:lncRNA from 1 species